CUGAGCCAAACAGCCAAGGUUUUAGACUAAGUCCCACCCCCCUGUGUCCGGAUAGGUUUAAAAUGUAAAGGUCCAGGCAAACCUCUGCCCAUGCUACCAUCUUCUCGACCAAUCAACAUAGGUUGCUGUGUAUGUUUUUGGCGGCGGGAGAUAAACAAAGAGAAACAGAGAGACGAGAGAGUAAUACUAAAGAAGAGUAAUUCUGCCAGCGUAAGAGAAAUACAUACAACACAAGAUAUCUAGAUACAGUCACACACACACACACACACACACACACACACACACACACACACACACACACACAAAUACAUACACACACACACACACACACACAUAUCCCAAGACAAAUUCAAACCAACAUGUCAAAACGGCGUUACACUACGGAAGAAACCGUAGAAUUUAUUUUGUCUGGCGGACCGUUUAGCGAUGCAGCGGUGGAUUCCUCAGAUUCUGAAGCUGACAACUGGCAAGGAAGAGUAGUAUGAUCACGGGAUUGAUCCCUUCGAAGAUAAAAAAGACAGAGGAUGAGAGAGGGGAUGCACAAGCCACUGUCCCCAUCAGUAGGCCUCCUUCAAACCGAGAGGGAAAAGAAUGUGGCCAGGAGGGUGCAGCAUCCAGAAAAAAGGCCAAACCAAUGCCAGCCCCCCUGACAGUGAAAGGGAGAGGAAGAGGGAAAGGGAAAAAAACAUCUCUGACCCCAGAAGAGCCAGGAGCUGUUUGGAACGGACCUGAGGUGCCAGAUACUGCCCAACAACUACCACACUUUUGCCCGAAAAGAGCCCGUGGAGUCCAAGGUUUUGUUGGUGUGGAGUAUACUCCUGCACAAAUAUUUAGAAAUUGUUUUAACAACCAAGCUGUAAAUAUCAUCUGCAAGAACACAAACAAAAAUGCUGAAAAGGAGCAGGCUAAGGGGGAAAAGUUUGUUU